UACGUAGGGGGCGAGCGUUGUCCGAAUUUACUGGGCGUAAAGAGCGCGUAGGCGGGUCUUUAAGUGAGGGGUGAAAGGUUCGGGCCCAACCCGAACACUGCCUUUCAUACUGGGGACCUUGAGUGCGGGAGAGGCGAGUGGAAUGGUCGGUGUAGCGGUGAAAUGCGUAGAUAUCGAUCGGAACACCCAUGGCGAAGGCAGCUCGCUGGCCCGUGACUGACGCUGAGGCGCGAAAGCGUGGGGAGCAAACAGG
rnacentral:rRNA from 1 species